rnacentral:tRNA from 1 species
CACUGUACAGCUAUCCUAGCGUUAACCUUUUAAGUUAAAGAUGAGGGGCACACCCUCUACAGUGG